GUGGCAAGCAGUUUUCUGCAUUGAAGGCCAUAUUGUCUUUGAGAGGGUCCAGCAAACAUUCCAGACAGGACAGCGUUCUCCAUCUUCUUCAUCUUCAGCCUCCAAUAUCAACAUGAGGCAGCCAAGACUUUGAUUCAUUCAACGGUAAAACCAUUCUUAUAAAUUUUUUUUUACAAUGACAUGGUUUUAAAGCAAGUUAUGAUUAACAUUUGUCAAAGGUGGUGAUGUUUUCUCUUUACGUAAUUAAAAACAGCUUUAUUUAUAUAUUAUACCAGCUGUAUUCAAAAUGCCACACUAUUUAUAUUCUCAGGAAUUUUCCCAUUUUUGAUUUUGUUUUUUAGUCGCUUCAUUGGGAUUAACCCAGAAAGGGGCACAAAAGCCGGUCAUGGAAAAAUGGUAUCCAGAAAGACAGGAAAGACCAUUCAAAAGAAAAAGUGACAGUCAAUGUUCAGGUUUCCACGCUCAUCAAAAACUUGAUGGACUUUGAGUGGCAACUCAUUCAGUAAGUGCCACUUGGACUCUUGAAAACCAUUAAUGGUUCACAUUUUAAAACCCUGUUAAUACUAGAAUUCCACAUUAUUUCAGCCAUGUUGAAUUUUAGAUUUUGGAAGUAAUUUUUCUUUGAUUUGUUUAGUGAUACCCAAAGCAUGGGCAUUUCUUUAAGAACUGUGUUUUUAUGUUCAUAAGAUUGUAGAAAUUAAUGAGUUAAACCCAGUUUAUGUCGCUGUAAAAUUAAAGUCUUAAAUUUUUAUUCCAGUGUUAGUGAAACUAUAUAUGGACUUUGAAGGCCUAUUUUUUUUACCAGUUCUCUGAGGAAUGGUUUUGUUAUUUGUUUUGAAUGUUUCAAUAUACUGGAAAUAUAUGUGGUUUGAGGCAUAGUGGUGCCUUUAAAUAAAAAUUAUGUUCUGAAGGUUGCUUAUCACAUCCUCUUCUGUGUUAUGUGAAGUUCUGAUUAUGCAGAUUUUGCAUUUUAGAACCGCACCAAUUGUAGCACUUCUAAGAAGCCUACACUGGAUUGGGUAUUAAUGUCCUAUCAUAAAACUAAGACUGUACUUUAAAAAGUAGCAUUACAGUUUUCUUUGCAGUAGCUUACUCAUAAAGUGAAUGCAGUAGUAAAACUAAAUUUACAGUAAAAAUACUGGAACGCUACUAUUUGAAGGUAUAUUAACUUUCACCACUGUAUUUUACGGUGGCCAACAGGUGCAAAGACGCAAAAAACACAUGCAACAAAAAAGAUGCAAACAAAAAAUGCUGAAAACAGAAGUGAUCCAGACCACUAGAGGGAGUCGAACAAAGAACAGCUGUGUCCGAAGUCAGGUUUUGCAUCAUUGGGUCUUCGAGGACCGGAAGAGAGAAGCUGUAGCUUUCAGCUAGCUGCUUAGCCUCUACCGUGGCGUUAUGUUGCUUAGCAGCCGUGACAACGUGAAUCAUAUAGCGGCGAAGGAAAAAAAAACGGACUGGAAGUAUGUUGUUUUUUUUUUUUUUUUCUCCUGAAUCCCUUUUCAAAUACUCUCCAAAUCUCAGGUUGCUAAACGCUGAGGUGGAGGCUAGGCAGCUAGCUGAAGGCUACAGCUUCUCUCUGCAAUGCUCUCUGCCUUCGCAGGACCCCUCUUCCGUAGACCGGGUCGUUUCUCAAGCCCAUGGCAGAAUAAGCUUGAAAGGAUGCAGACCCUGAACUCGGACACAAAGCUCUAGUGGUCUGGAACACUUAUUGUUAUGUAUAUUUUGAAUGUCUUUUUUGUUUGCGCCUUUGUUCUACUUGUUUUUCUCGUGUUUGCUGUGCGUUUGCACCUGUCGGCCACCGUAGUAUUUUAACGAUUCUGUAUUUUAGUUCUGCUGGGCUCCAUAUGGUUAUGUGUAUUUGUUAUAAGUUGCAUUGUGAUCACUGUUAUGUGUAGAGUGUUAUGGGCUUCCCCUGUCUGACUGCUGACUCCCCCUCACAUGUGAUGGACCUGUCAUAUGGGCAAGGGAUCAGGGGAGCGGGAGGACCAGGACCGAUGCUGACAGAACACCGGAAGAGCAGAGAGUUCAGUGUGUUAGCAGUGAAGCUAUUCAAUUGAGUGUAUCGGUUUGUUAAAGGGCCGAGCUGCAGCCUAAGGAAUAGCAGCUCGCUUUUAUUUCUAAUAAACCCUGUUGACGGUACCACAUCUGCGGUGUGUUGGCGUCAUUACAGUAUUUACUUACAGUACACCACUUUAAAAGGUACAGGAUUGAAAAGGUAAAUGUCCAGUAAAAUAAUAGUAUCUACAGACGCCGGUUUUUUUUUUUUUUUUUUUUAAACCGUUUUUCUGAAAGAAUGGU